CAUUUCAAUGUGCUGUGUGAGUGGGGUGUUUAACCAAAGAGCACCUACUUGACUCAACCUGUUUUGUCUGCAAAUAAAGGGGAGGAGGUUUAUAUCUGCUGAAAAUAAGUCCUUGAUCAAGUUCUUAACUCGUCUCCAAGUGCCUACCAGACCACCCCAGACUGCAAAGCUGUGAGCUCCCGCUGUUCAGUCCAGCCCUGCUGAAGAUGGCACCAUCCAGCGCUCUGUUCCUUUUGACAGGUCCUGCAUAUCCUGCUGCUGCUCAGCCUCAAACAAGUCAUCUCCCUGCCUUACAAGUUGUACAGGCCUGGAUACCUGUGUCCUGUCUUCAGAGACUGACUUCAGAUCUUUUGUUAUGUC